AAUACCAGUGGCGAAGGCGGCCUUCUGGACUGACACUGACACUGAGGUGCGAAAGCGUGGGUAGCAAACAGGAUUAGAUACCCUGGUAGUCCACGCCGUAAACGAUGUCGACCAGCCGUUGGGUGCCUAGCGCACUUUGUGGCGAAGUUAACGCGAUAAGUCGACCGCCUGGGGAGUACGGCCGCAAGGUUAAAACUCAAAUGAAUUGACGGGGGCCCGCGCAAGCGGUGGAGCAUGUGGUUUAAUUCGAUGCAACGCGAAGAACCUUACCUACUCUUGACAUCCUGCGAACUUGUGAGAGAUCACUUGGUGCCUUCGGGAGCGCAGAGACAGGUGCUGCAUGGCUGUCGUCAGCUCGUGUUGUGAAAUGUUGGGUUAAGUCCCGUAACGAGCGCAACCCUUGUCCUUAUUUGUCAGCGGGUAAUGCCGGGAACUCUAAGGAGACUGCCGGUGACAAACCGGAGGAAGGUGGGGACGACGUCAAGUCAUCAUGGCCCUUACGAGUAGGGCCACACACGUGCUACAAUGGCCGGUACAAAGGGUUGCGAGCUCGCGAGAGUCAGCUAAUCCCGAAAAGCCGGUCUCAGUCCGGAUCGGAGUCUGCAACUCGACUCCGUGAAGUCGGAAUCGCUAGUAAUCGUGAAUCAGAAUGUCACGGUGAAUACGUUCCCGGGCCUUGUACACACCGCCCGU
rnacentral:rRNA from 1 species